rnacentral:rRNA from 1 species
GGCUCACCAAGGCGACGAUGCGUAGCCGACCUGAGAGGGUGAUCGGCCACACUGGGACUGAGACACGGCCCAGACUCCUACGGGAGGCAGCAGUAGGGAAUCUUCCGCAAUGGACGAAAGUCUGACGGAGCAACGCCGCGUGAACGAAGAAGGCCUUCGGGUCGUAAAGUUCUGUUGUUAGGGAAGAACAAGUACCAGAGUAACUGCUGGUACCUUGACGG